rnacentral:rRNA from 1 species
CACGUAGGGGGCAAGCGUUGUCCGGAUUUAUUGGGCGUAAAGAGCUCGUAGGCGGCUCAGUAAGUCAGGUGUGAAACCUCCAGGCUCAACCUGGAGACGCCACCUGAUACUGCUGUGGCUAGAGUCCGGUAGGGGAGCGUGGAAUUCCUGGUGUAGCGGUGAAAUGCGCAGAUAUCAGGAGGAACACCAGCGGCGAAGGCGGCGCUCUGCGCCGGAACUGACGCUGAGGAGCGAAAGCGUGGGUAGCAAACAGG